CUUGUUUCUUUUUUUUUUUUUUGGUACUGAGGAUCGAAUUCCAGACCUUGCACUUGCGAGGCAGGCGCUGGAACCACUGAGCUAAAUCCCUGGCCCCUAGCGUGGUAACUUUGUUAGGUUAAUGAAGUUAGCUGUUAGAGUCACAUAACUGUCACCUUAAACAAGGAGUUAUGGGAAAAGCAAAUCUUAAAAGAACACAUUAUUUAUUUUGCUUCUACAACUACCUUAAUAUUCAGUCUAUUAAGUUAUCUAAAACGUUUCCUUAUCAUUGUGAGGACCGGUUAUAUAAUGUAGUAAGAGGAACAAUAAUAAACUAAAAUGAGUCCUCAGCUCUGACAGACCUCACACAUGGCCUUAGGUCUCUGGAACCUACUGAGAAGGCAGAUGGCCAACGGGCAAGAGGCUUGCCAGCACUUCUGUUCAUUGAACUCCCCUGGUCAUUUCCUGAGCCCAACCCAGCUGGCAAGCAGGGAGCCAGAGAGAGCCUGAGGCACUGGGGGAGGGUGGUAGAGGCAGCAGGAAGUGGGUGAGGGCAAGUGGGGCAGGGGCUGAGACUGGGAGGAGGCUGGGGAGAGUUGAGUGGGGGCGCGGAUGACUAUGGGUGUGUCCCUCAUGCCCCCCCCUGUGGGGACUGCAUCAGGGUCUCCCUCUCCUAGGCAUCUGGAGGUCAGGCCUGGUGCCUCUCUGCCUGCUGCACCUUGCAGAAUACUGGGCAGAAGAGGAAAAAAAGAAAGAAAAUGACAGUGAGGGCGGGUGGGCAGUCAGGAUGCCUUAGCAACAAAAGGCUGAGGACCCUGAGGGAGCAGCCCCACCUAGCUGGGCCUGUGUCCUGCUCAGCGCUUCUAGGGGUCCUGACCAAAGUCACCCCAAGCAGUGAUCUUCGAGGCCCUGCAGCUGCCCAAACCCUGCUCGCGGAUGCAGAGCUGAUGGCAAGGUGGUGAUUUUUCAGACUUUCACUCAAUCCCCAGAUGUCUGCAGAAAUUUCCAUAAAUUUUUCUUGAUAUUUAUAAAGGUUUGAAUAUAAAAAUAUGAAUCAAAUAGAACAGGAUAUCUGAAUGGUGCACGUUCAGACUGGAGGAAUUAUUUUCCUUAUCUUGACACCCAAGAUUAAGUCUGACAAAUCUAACUACGUGAGAAAGUGUAACGGGCAAAAACAAAAAAGGAGGAACAUUGGCAACACAGACUGAAUCCUUAGGCACCCGACAAAGGCCCGCGAAGGAUGAUGAGAAAGCGUGGAAACGGCAAAGGACAAGAACGCUGCCCACAAAGGAAGCAGCAGCAGGAGGCGCAUCCUCGGGCUCCUUGCCGUGGUGGCCAGCCUUUUGGGAGCAAGGAUGGGACGGCGCAGCGACCCACCCGGGCCGGCAGGCCACACCGCUGCGGUUGGAAUACUGCCAAGGCCACGUGUCCCGGGAUCUCACAUCUAGGGUACAGAUCAGCUCUUCCCUGGCCAGUGGCAUUGUGACUGUUUCUGCCACUCUGUGGCUGCAACCCAUAGACCACGUGAUGAGAAAAGAAAGGCUUCGGAGCCCAUCCACAUGAGGAAUCAGAAGGACACGGUCACAGAAGGCAAGAUGGGAUCCUGAGCUGGAGGGGACAGUGCCACCAAGGACAGUCAUGUGUCACUUCUCUGUUACUUGAACUUGGUAAGUGUCCUGUACUGUGGUUUUGUGAGAGGAUAUGCCUGAGGUGUUAGGUACCAAAGGACACCAGGCUUGCAAACCACUCUGAGGUCAGGAACAAAGAAUUUGUACAGAUGUUAAAAAAAAAAAUUAAAAGUGUACAUUUCUUC